UACAUGUCAGAUACAUUUAAUAAGCAUUUUUGAGCAUCUAAUCUAUGUCAGGUCCUGUGCCACACAUGGGAAGUAAAAAUUUUUGUCCACAGGGAGGUGCAAACUUUGUCCCCAUCAUCACAGUGCUUAUUCUUUGGUGGGGCAAUCAGGUAUGUAGCUCCAUGGUUCCAGCCCAGUGUGACAGAACAAUAGCCUGGGGCAGGGGGUGAAAUUUAGAAGGUCUCAGAUCCUGUAACAACUGCAGGGACACAUAGGGGAAGCCCCUGAACUAAGCAGACACAAGUGAGAUACAAUGGGCUUCAUGGGUGGAGACAGACAGAGAGGUGGUCCCCACCAGGCUGUGCCUUCUGUAACCAGCCAGGGAAAUGGCACUGCCUAGUGAAGGCCCCUGAACCUGGAGACUUCUCUUGACACCAUUUCUGGAAAGCUUCUAAUGAGAAGUCAAGCUCCUCAUUAACAGAUUAGUUCUGUGCCUUCAGAGCAGGUUGGUGAGUGUACUCCCCAGGGCUUCUCAUCUGCCAAUUCCUAGUCAGCAGGUACCACCUGGACUGGACCCAGUCUGAGGGAAAGGCAGGCCAUGGGGAGGCUCAAGUGACUUGUAUUUGAAAUGUCAUCACCUCAUGCUCACAUAUGUUCCUUAGGAGCACAAUAGCCAAAACUCAUCAAGGGCUCUGCUGUUGAAAUGAAGAUAGACCCAGAGGCACCAAGGCUUCUGAUGAUACUGGUCUUACAGCACUUUAGAAAUGUAAACCCAACCAUCAGUUGCCUGAGAUGUGACCACUUCUCACUGUUGGUGUCUGGGGAACAGGAAGAUGGCAGAAAGUAGGAUUCAGAAACCUUGCCUGAGCCUGAUGCUCCACAUGAGUUGUUGCAUCAGUUUCUCUCCGCCUCUUGCAGAGGACAUGCUCAAUGAGCUAAAGCAGAGUAGCAGACAAACAAGUGACAACAGGCAUUGUGGAGAGGCCAUGGAGUGUCCUGGGAACCAAUGUGAAGUAUGAGUUGCACUGGAGAAGCCCACACGGAAAGCCUCAGGAACCAAAGGCAGCUGAGCUUGGCAUAUGGCGUCGCCACCUCCAUAAGGGGCUUUUGUGAAGAAUUAAUCAAAAGAUUAUACUGGACAAAAGCCGAUAGCUGCUGGGAAGAAGGAGGACUCUUGGACUUCUUUCUAAUUGAGCAGUAGGGUCUCUGCUUCCUCCCACUAGAAAUUCAACUGGUCUCCAAAGAAAGAACAAGUCACCCAUUGCUAACCAAGACAGAAGAGAAUGCAGCUCUUGCUGCAUUUCCUGAAUUUGAAGAUAACUUUGCUGUCAAGGCCAUGAAGGUGCCAUGGAGGCGUCACUUCCAAUGCUGAGAAUUUCAGCUCCUCUGGAACUAAGCCCAGGUGGCAGACGGGGUAGUGAGAACUCACACCCCCUUGUUUUCUGCACCCCCAGAAACUUUCAACAGACAUUCCAGCUCAUCUCAGAUAACUGAUCUCACCAAGUGCCUCCACCAUCCUCUGAGAAGAAGCAUCAGACAUGACAGCUGCCUUUAUCUCCGGAUGCCAGGCCGUCUUGUAGUUCCAAAGCAGUGAUCAUCACCAAGCCAUACCCCUGGGUGGGACAUGAGUGGAGAAUGGAAACAGCAGAGUGUACAGACAUCUGUGGUAUGCAGGCCAAUGUGGGUGUCUGAAAGCACUUGGGGAUGAGACAAGGGCUUGGAGGCUGAACUGAGGCUGGGCUUCAAGCAAUAUGGCAGCACCCAGGGCCUGGUGGAAAAGAAAGCUGCAGCAGAAUGAUUUCUGAUCCAGCACAAUGCCAUUACAAAUGUCCCAAGAACCAGAGACCUGGAUGUUAAGCUAGCAAAGAGCUGUUUCAGCCAAAAGAAAGAAUGGCCACCCUGAUUUUUACAAGUGAAUGAAGUGUGAAAAGACACUAACCCCUAUUCAAACUCUCCAUGAAACCAACUGAUAAUAAUGAAAAAAUACAGAGGUGGACUUAAGGUUCAGCAGUACAUUUCUCCCAAGGAACGCUGAAUGAUCCCAGGGUCCACUAUAGUAAUGAAGGUUCUCAAAAGUUGGAAUGAAGCCAUGUGGAAAGAGAACUCUGUUGUCAUAUGGCACAGACCAAAGCUAAAAGUGAUGCUCUGGCAGCAGUCAGGACCAUAUUCACAUUG